GAUGAACGCUGGCGGCGUGCCUAAUACAUGCCAGUCGAGCGAACGGACGAGAAGCUUGCUUCUCUGAUGUUAGCGGCGGACGGGUGAGUAACACGUGGAUAACCUACCUAUAAGACUGGGAUAACUUCGGGAAACCGGAGCUAAUACCGGAUAAUAUUUUGAACCGCAUGGUUCAAAAGUGAAAGACGGUCUUGCUGCCACUUAUAGAUGGAUCCGCGCUGCAUUAGCUAGUUGGUAAGGUAACGGCUUACCAAGGCAACGAUGCAUAGCCGACCUGAGAGGGUGAGCGGCCACAAGGGAACUGAGACACGGACCGGACUCCGACGGGAGGCAGCAGUAGGGAAUCUUCCGCAAUGGGCUAAAGCCUGAAGGAUCAACUUCGCGUGAAUGAUGAAGGUCUUCGGAUCGUACAACUCUGUUAUUAGGGAAGAACAUAUGUGUAAGUAACUGUGCACAUCUUGACGGUGCCUAAUCAGAACGCCACGCCUAACUUCAUG
rnacentral:rRNA from 1 species